rnacentral:rRNA from 1 species
CAGUCGCCGCGGUAAUACGAAGGGGGCUAGCGUUGCUCGGAAUGACUGGGCGUAAAGGGCGCGUAGGCGGAUCACGCAGUCAGAUGUGAAAUUCCUGGGCUUAACCUGGGGGCUGCAUUUGAGACGCGUGGUCUAGAGUGUGAAAGAGGGACGUGGAAUUCCCAGUGUAGAGGUGAAAUUCGUAGAUAUUGGGAAGAACACCGGUGGCGAAGGCGGCGACCUGGUUCAUGACUGACGCUGAGGCGCGAAAGCGUGGGGAGCAAACAGGAUUAGAUACCCCCGUAGUCCCUGUCUCUUAUAC